rnacentral:rRNA from 1 species
GAUGAACGCUGGCGGCGUGCCUAAUACAUGCAAGUCGAGCGAACAGACGAGGAGCUUGCUCCUCUGACGUUAGCGGCGGACGGGUGAGUAACACGUGGAUAACCUACCUAUAAGACUGGGAUAACUUCGGGAAGCCGGAGCUAAUACCGGAUAAUAUAUUUAACCGCAUGGUUCAAUAGUGAAAGACGGUUUUGUUUUCCUUAUAGAUUGAUCCGCGCCGCAUUAGCUAGUUGGUAAGGUAACGGCUUACCAAGGCGACGAUGCGUAGCCGACCUGAGAGGGUGAUCGGCCACACUGGAACUGAGACACGGUCCAGACUCCUACGGGAGGCAGCAGUAGGGAAUCUUCCGCAAUGGGCGAAAGCCUGACGGAGCAACGCCGCGUGAGUGAUGAAGGUCUUCGGAUCGUAAAACUCUGUUAUUAGGGAAGAACAAAUGUGUAAGUAACUAUGCACGUCUUGACGGUACCUAAUCAGAAAGCCACGGCUAACUACGUG